UCGCGGGAAAAUAAGCUAACUUUAGGUUAUACUUUGAUCUAUUUUUAUGUUUCUUAAGUGUAACGCUAUUGUAUUGCUGUUUGACAGUAGUGAAAUCAACUGUAAACUAGCUCAUAUUUGCGAGUUAUUUAGCUAAUGCUAUUGUAUUGCUGUUUGACAGUAGUGAAAUCAACUGUAAACUAGCUCAUAUUUGCAAGUUAUUUAGCUAAUGCUACUGUAUUGCUGUUUGACAGUAGUGAAAUCAACCGUAAACUAGCUCAUAUGCUAGUGGAAACAUCAUAUAAGUAUAACUGCAGCAGAAGUGUAUUCUUCCUGCCACUCUCAGAGUAGCACUUCCAUUGUCAAAAGCAAUCCUCAGCCAAAAGCUAUAUUUUCUGAAAAACGACUCUUGGAUAUCACCUUGUCGUGGGAAACAGCAGAUCACCACCCUCCAGCUAACAACAACUCUCCACCGAUCAAGGCCUCAACGGAAAAGACCACCUUCAGCAUUCACUCCGCAUUACUCCCGGCAGAGACAGGUGUCUUGUCCUACUAACACCCCACUCAUGGCCUGCACCUUGAUGUGGUUGACAGGCCUCAAUGGACAGUGAGACAGUGAUAUACCUUUGGACUGGCACCGACUGAAACUUGAUUUCUCAUGAAUAUCUUUACAAGAUGCAACACACAUUGUGCAACACUUUAGACACUA